rnacentral:rRNA from 1 species
UACGGAGGGUGCAAGCGUUAUCCGGAUUUACUGGUUUAAAGGGUGCGUAGGUGGGCAGGUAAGUCAGUGGUGAAAUCUUCAAGCUUAACUUGGGAACUGCCAUUGAUACUAUUUGUCUUGAAUGUCGUGGAGGUUAGCGGAAUAUGUCAUGUAGCGGUGAAAUGCUUAGAGAUGACAUAGAACACCUAUUGCGAAGGCAGCUAACUACGCGAAUAUUGACGCUGAGGCACGAAAGCGUGGGGAGUCAAACAGGA